AGAGUUUGAUCAUGGCUCAGAUUGAACGCUGGCGGAAUGCUUUACACAUGCAAGUCGAACGGCAGCACGGACUUCGGUCUGGUGGCGAGUGGCGAACGGGUGAGUAACAUAUCGGAACGUAUCCAAUAAUGGGGGAUAACUAAUCGAAAGGUUGGCUAAUACCGCAUACGCCCUACGGGGGAAAGCUAGGGACCUUCGGGCCUGGCGUUAAUGGAGCGGCCGAUAUCUGAUUAGCUAGUUGGUGAGGUAAAGGCUCACCAAGGCGACGAUCAGUAGCUGGUCUGAGAGGACGACCAGCCACACUGGAACUGAGACACGGUCCAGACUCCUACGGGAGGCAGCAGUGGGGAAUUUUGGACAAUGGGCGCAAGCCUGAUCCAGCCAUUCCGCGUGAGUGAAGAAGGCCUUCGGGUUGUAAAGCUCUUUCGCAAGGGAAGAAAACUUAUCCUCUAACAUAGGAUGAGGUUGACGGUACCUUGAUAAGAAGCACCGGCUAACUACGUGCCAGCAGCCGCGGUAAUACGUAGGGUGCGAGCGUUAAUCGGAAUUACUGGGCGUAAAGCGUGCGCAGGCGGUUUUGUAAGUCAGAUGUGAAAUCCCCGAGCUCAACUUGGGAACUGCGUUUGAAACUACAAGACUAGAAUAUGUCAGAGGGGGGUAGAAUUCCACGUGUAGCAGUGAAAUGCGUAGAGAUGUGGAGGAAUACCAAUGGCGAAGGCAGCCCCCUGGGAUAAUAUUGACGCUCAUGCACGAAAGCGUGGGGAGCAAACAGGAUUAGAUACCCUGGUAGUCCACGCCCUAAACGAUGUCUACUAGUUGUUGGUGGAGUAAAAUCCAUGAGUAACGCAGCUAACGCGUGAAGUAGACCGCCUGGGGAGUACGGUCGCAAGAUUAAAACUCAAAUGAAUUGACAGGGGCCCGCACAAGCGGUGGAUUAUGUGGAUUAAUUCGAUGCAACGCGAAAAACCUUACCUGGGCCU
rnacentral:rRNA from 1 species